rnacentral:rRNA from 1 species
CGCAUCUGUGCAUGCAGCAUAUCAAUAAGCGGAGGAAAAGAAACUAACAAGGAUUCCCUUAGUAACGGCGAGUGAAGCGGGAAGAGCUCAAAUUUGAAAUCUUCAAGGUUUUACCUUGACGAAUUGUAGUUUAAAGAAGUGUUUUCUGCUGAAGUUUUGGUAAAAGUUCUUUGGAAUAGGACAUCAUAGAGGGUGAGAAUCCCGUAUUUGACCAUUAUUUUCAACUUUGUGAUACACUUUCAAAGAGUCGGAUUGUUUGGGAAUGCAGUCCAAAAUGGGUGGUAAAUUUCAUCUAAAGCUAAAUAUUGGCGAGAGACCGAUAGCGAACAAGUACCGUGAGGGAAAGAUGAAAAGAACUUUGAAAAGAGAGUUAAACAGUACGUGAAAUUGUCAAAAGGGAAGCGUUUGACACCAGUGUUGUUUUUCUGAAAAUCAAUUAAAGAACUGUUUAUGCUAAGCUGUCUAGACUUUAUCAGCUAUCUGUUUAGUUUUGAGCUUUUCUUUAAUGCACUUUUCAGUUAACAAGUCAACAUCCAAUUUCUUUUGCUGUAAAAAAGCUUGAGGAAGGUGGCUUGAGAUUCGUCUUAAGUGUUUAUAGCCUCUUGCCUAUGCAGUCGGAGAGAUUGAGGUCUGCAGCGUAGAUCCUUCGGGGCUAAAUGCAUUUGUGCUAAGUUAUAGCAUUUUAUAGACAACUUGUUGACUAUGAUUUGUCUUGUAGCUUACUCGCUUAUGUUAUUUUACCUACGCUUAGGAUGUUGAUAGUCACAGCGUGUAC